rnacentral:rRNA from 1 species
GAUGAACGCUAGCUACAGGCUUAACACAUGCAAGUCGAGGGGCAGCAUGGUCUUAGCUUGCUAAGGCCGAUGGCGACCGGCGCACGGGUGAGUAACACGUAUCCAACCUGCCGUCUACUCUUGGACAGCCUUCUGAAAGGAAGAUUAAUACAAGAUGGCAUCAUGAGUCCACAUGUUCACAUGAUUAAAGGUAUUCCGGUAGACGAUGGGGAUGCGUUCCAUUAGAUAGUAGGCGGGGUAACGGCCCACCUAGUCUUCGAUGGAUAGGGGUUCUGAGAGGAAGGUCCCCCACAUUGGAACUGAGACACGGUCCAAACUCCUACGGGAGGCAGCAGUGAGGAAUAUUGGUCAAUGGGCGAGAGCCUGAACCAGCCAAGUAGCGUGAAGGAUGACUGCCCUAUGGGUUGUAAACUUCUUUUAUAAAGGAAUAAAGUCGGGUAUGGAUACCCGUUUGCAUGUACUUUAUGAAUAAGGAUCGGCUAACUCCGUGCCAGCAGCCGCGGUAAUACGGAGGAUCCGAGCGUUAUCCGGAUUUAUUGGGUUUAAAGGGAGCGUAGAUGGAUGUUUAAGUCAGUUGUGAAAGUUUGCGGCUCAACCGUAAAAUUGCAGUUGAUACUGGAUAUCUUGAGUGCAGUUGAGGCAGGCGGAAUUCGUGGUGUAGCGGUGAAAUGCUUAGAUAUCACGAAGAACUCCGAUUGCGAAGGCAGCCUGCUAAGCUGCAACUGACAUUGAGGCUCGAAAGUGUGGGUAUCAAACAGGAUUAGAUACCCUGGUAGUCCACACGGUAAACGAUGAAUACUCGCUGUUUGCGAUAUACAGCAAGCGGCCAAGCGAAAGCGUUAAGUAUUCCACCUGGGGAGUACGCCGGCAACGGUGAAACUCAAAGGAAUUGACGGGGGCCCGCACAAGCGGAGGAACAUGUGGUUUAAUUCGAUGAUACGCGAGGAACCUUACCCGGGCUUAAAUUGCAGAUGAAUUACGGUGAAAGCCGUAAGCCGCAAGGCAUCUGUGAAGGUGCUGCAUGGUUGUCGUCAGCUCGUGCCGUGAGGUGUCGGCUUAAGUGCCAUAACGAGCGCAACCCUUGUUGUCAGUUACUAACAGGUUCCGCUGAGGACUCUGACAAGACUGCCAUCGUAAGAUGUGAGGAAGGUGGGGAUGACGUCAAAUCAGCACGGCCCUUACGUCCGGGGCUACACACGUGUUACAAUGGGGGGUACAGAGGGCCGCUACCACGCGAGUGGAUGCCAAUCCCAAAAACCUCUCUCAGUUCGGACUGGAGUCUGCAACCCGACUCCACGAAGCUGGAUUCGCUAGUGAUCGCGCAUCAGCCACGGCGCGGUGAAUACGUUCCCGGGCCU